GACCCUACUCUGAACUUCUUUCGGACUUCGUCAAUAUCCGAGCUCCUCCGAUAAUGAGAUUUCUAUAGUAACCAGACUCCAUCCUAGUUUCUACAGUGGUCGACUGCCUUUCGGAUUUCAACCGAGCUCCUGCGAGAGCCGAACUCCCACUGCAGGCGGUCUACUCUGGAUAUCUACUGUAAGAGAAUUCCAUUCGAGCCUC
rnacentral:lncRNA from 1 species